GUCAAUGAACAUGAAAAUAUUUGCAUAGCGGGACCAAAUAGUCGGGCUGGCUACGCCACUGGUGAGAGUAACAUCACAAACAUCAUAUAUUCACCUGAGUACAUGACACCAACACACACAAAAUAAUCGUAUCAUUGAAUACCCCUGUACACUGAUAUCGAAGGAACUAGACUCAGUUCCAAAAUAUCAUCAACUCGAACAGACUUGACCAUGUAGCUCAGUUGGCAGAGCA
rnacentral:lncRNA from 1 species